rnacentral:lncRNA from 1 species
GGGCUCGUUCUUUUACGACGGAGCCUAAGAUAUUCUUUGUCUUGUCGGUGAGUGAGUUACAGUCGGAUGACCAAGUGAAAUAUAGGGGUGCAACGAGGAUUUGGAGGCUUCUGAGACUUGAACUUAGGGUACUGGUGUAAACUUCCUCGGAGAAGUGCGCAGCAGCUAAUGAUAUUUCGGGAUUGGAGUCUGGGCCCCAGUGAGAUUCGUACUAAGCGGCCUGACUGAAGGCCGCAUGCGUUCUAGUUCCUGAGUCCCCGCGUGGGUAGGUUUUUACAGCAGGGUUUGCAGCCUUUUGUGCUGUUCCGAAGGUACUAGAGUCACCGAAAGAGACAUCCUAUUAUAUGCACGUUCACAAGGACAAUGGCGCCAUUGUUCUUCGCGUCUUCAAAGCAGCUACAAGAAGAAACCAAGAUGGAGGGGAGCCCAAAGCAUCUGAGAGAAUUGAUAAAUGAAAGAAACAUGCUUAAAACAUGACCGUUUUAAAGGUGAAUGCUGACCAGUGAGAUGCCAGCCUGCGUGUGAAGAUCCUACAGCAGAAGUGCAUGGCCAGUGACACAAGAACUUGCGAGAGAUGCCAGUCCGCCUGUGAAGAUCCUGCAGCAGGAGUGCAUAGCCAGUGACACAAGACGUGCGAAUGAAAACUAGAUGUGACCAUCCAGAAAAAGCAUAGACAAAAAAAUGCAGUCUUAGUACUGGGAUGUUUGAGAUGGGGUCUAUCUACAUGUCUCUAGCUGUCCCUAUCAGGACAGCAUCUGGUGUGGCCUGCAGAGUUGAUUCCUGUACUUUUUUUUUUUUGUGGGCUGUAUGUAAAUGGAUUGUUUUGACAAUCCAUUCGACAGUGUUCUCUUCUGUGAAGGUCAUAGGUGAGCUGAUUGACAGACACAGCUGUACAGACUGAAUGCAAUCCUGACUAUAAAGCUGCAGUUCAUCAUUAUGAGCUAUUUCCUUAUUCUGGCAGUGAUUGAAAUAAAAUGGGGAGUAUUGAAAUAAAAAACAUUCAAUUGCAAAAAAAAAAAAAAAAAAAAAAAAAAAAAAAAAAAAAAAAAAAAAAAAAAAAAAAAAAAAAAAAAAAAAAAAAAAA